UGCGUAGGGGGCAAGCGUUGUCCGGAUUUAUUGGGCGUAAAGAGCGUGUAGGCGGCCAUGUAGGUCCGUUGUGAAAACUCGAGGCUCAACCUCGAGACGCCGAUGGAAACCAUGUGGCUAGAGUCCGGAAGAGGAGAGUGGAAUUCCUGGUGUAGCGGUGAAAUGCGCAGAUAUCAGGAGGAACACCGGUGGCGAAGGCGGGUCUCUGGGCCGUAACUGACGCUGAGGAGCGAAAGCGUGGGGAGCGAACAGG
rnacentral:rRNA from 1 species